CUUAACUUGCCUUCUGCCAGGUGAGGUGAUCUUUGUAUCUGGUAAACCCUGGGGAUUUAGUUGCUUUUUAAAAGAGAAUAUGGGAGAAAGACUCAGUGGCUGGGUUGUUGCAGCCACGGUUGCCCGACCAGGAACCCGAGCCGAAGAGUCAUCGUCAGAAUGUCGGGCAAAGACCGAAUUGAAAUCUUUCCCUCGCGAAUGGCACAGACCAUCAUGAAGGCUCGGUUAAAAGGAGCACAGACAGGUUGAAACCUCCUGAAGGAAAAAUCUGAUGCCUUAACUCUUCGAUUUCGACAGAUCCUUAAGAAGAUAAUAGAGACUAAAAUGUUGAUGGGUGAAGUGAUGAGAGAAGCUGCCUUUUCACUUGCUGAAGCCAAGUUCACAGCCGGGGACUUCAGCACCACAGUUAUCCAAAAUGUAAAUAAGGCCCAAGUGAAGAUUAGAGCAAAGAAAGAUAAUGUAGCAGGUGUUACAUUGCCAGUAUUUGAACAUUAUCAUGAAGGAACUGACAGUUAUGAACUGACUGGUUUAGCCAGAGGUGGGAAACAGUUGGCUAAACUGAAGAGGAAUUAUGCCAAAGCAGUGGAACUGGCUUCACUGCAGACUUCCUUUGUUACUUUGGAUGAAGCUAUUAAGAUAACCAACAGGCGUGUAAAUGCUAUUGAACAUGUCAUCAUUCCCCGGAUUGAACGUACCCUUGCUUACAUCAUCACAGAGCUGGAUGAGAGCGAGAGGAGUUCUACAGGUUAAAGAAAAUACAGGAGAAGAAAAAGGUUCUCAAGGAAAAGUCUGAACAGGACUUGGAGCAAUGGAGGGCAGCCGGAGAGGUGAUGGAGCCUGCUAAUCUCCUGGCUAAAGAGAAGGAUGAAGAUCUUCUGUUUGAAUAAGCUUUCCUGCUCUGGUUCUUUCAGAAGGCCUAACAUGUCACCAUUUUAAUUCAUGGUGUGUAGGUUUGUUACGUGUGGCUGUUUAUUUUUUGGCUUAAGAAUUUCACCAGUUGUAAAAUUUCCCUGGAUGUCUGUUUAUGGGAUCUACCUUUGCAGAAUCAUAAUUAAGCAACAAUUAAUCACCAGUGAAAUUUGUAGAACCUGUCCCGAAACCUGUAGAAUUUAUGCUGCAGAAGUGUCACCCUGCUUUAAUUAUACAUCUGUUACAAUUCAUCUGCUUAUCGAACAUAAGAAAAUCCCUUUAGGAAGCAGCAGUGCUCUCAGGCCAACACACAUUCAUAGGCCAGCUACUCUGGAGCACCCUUUGUUCCUACCUGCUCACACACCUUGGCAUCAUUGUCUGAGAUUGCUACAGCCAUUCUUGUGUUAGUUAUAUGGGACAUCUCUCCUUAUGCUUUAGGAAAACCUUCACUUAUUUUUCCUUGAAUAACAGGUCUCUGGUCUGUCAUGGGAACAGUUCUGCCAAUUCAAAUGUGACUGUGGUAUAAACAGUAAAAUGAUUUAAAAAUGAAAAAAUAAAAAAUAAAAAAAAAUUAAAAAAUAAAAAAGAAUAUGAUUUCCUGUUUGUAUUUGAGGAGCCCUUAUGCCGUAUAAGAACAAGACUAAAUUUAGGACAGCUAUAGCUUUCUAUCAUGGUAGCGCACAGCUCUUCUAUUUCUUUCUAUGGAUGUUAAUCAAAAUUGUCCCCACACAGAGGUGAAGAAGGUGGAGCAUUAUUGAGGAAUACUGAAAAGCCCCAUUUGCCUGAAAUAAAAUCUUCCAUAUGCUCGCUAUAUUUUUAAAAACCUCCACCAUUACAAUCACUCUUCUAGGUUAAGACACUGUUUCCCAAAGUUAGCUGCAGGGAACAUGAUUUUAUGGGAUAAUGGUAGGGUUAACUAGAGAAAACAUUUAUAUGGUCAAAUAAACUCGAGAGUUUCUGGAUUAGAGAAAGGUAAAUAGGUUUCUUUUUUUUAAGAUAGGUUUCUUUUAAUACAGGACUUCUCAGAGCCUUUAAUAGAUUAAUAUGCAUUAUGAAUCUAUAAGUGAGUGUAUGGGAUGCAGUAUUUUCCAAACUUAUUCAGCCAUAGGACUUUU